GUUGUUUCAUCAAAAUAUAUUGCCUGAUACAACUGGAUGUGUUCUGUUAGAAACAUGAAAUAUUUGCAAUAAAAUGUUAUCUUACUAGCAAAAGACUGCUACAGGCAAGAAUUCACACCUCUGACAAUUUAAAUCAAACCCAGAAAGAAGCCAGUACAUAUGAACAGAAUUUCAAGGAAAUCCAGACAAGAAGAUAUGCCUGCAACUCACACCUAAAUAUAUUGGACUUACUGCAGACAUCAGUUUUCAGCUGUUUGACCACGAAAUUAGUUUUAUCAAGCUAACCCACCCUGCAAACUAAUUUUUGU